CAGUAGCGUCUAUUAAAGUUGUUGCAGUUAAAAAGCUCGUAGUUGGAUUUCGGUUAAGAGCGACCGGUCCGCCGUUUGGUGUGCACUGGUUGGUUUUAACUUCCUGUAGAGGACGUGCUCUGGGUUUAACGACCUGGACUCGGAGUCUACGUGGUUACUUUGAAAAAAUUAGAGUGUUCAAAGCGGGCUUACGCUUGAAUAUUUCAGCAUGGAAUAACACUAUAGGACUCCUGUCCUAUUUCGUUGGUCUCGGGACGGGAGUAAUGAUUAAGAGGAACAGUUGGGGGCAUUCGUAUUUCAUUGUCAGAGGUGAAAUUCUUGGAUUUAUGAAAGACGAACUUCUGCGAAAGCAUUUGCCAAGGAUGUUUUCAUUAA
rnacentral:rRNA from 1 species